rnacentral:rRNA from 1 species
UACGUAGGGACCAAGCGUUGUUCGGAUUUACUGGGCGUAAAGGGCGCGUAGGCGGCACUUCAAGUCAUCUGUGAAAUCUCCGGGCUUAACUCGGAACGGUCAGAUGAUACUGCUUUGCUAGAGUGCGGAAGGGGCAAUCGGAAUUCUCGGUGUAGCGGUGAAAUGCGUAGAUAUCUGGAGGAACACCGGUGGCGAAGGCGGCAUCCUGGACCAAUUCUGACACUGAGGAGCGAAAGCCAGGGGAGCAAACGGG